rnacentral:misc_RNA from 1 species
GAUGAAGAACGUAGCGAAAUGCGAUACUUGGUGUGAAUUGCAGAAUCCCGUGAACCAUCGAGUCUUUGAACACAAGUUGCGCCCGAAGCCAUUAGGCCGAGGGCACGCCUGCCUGGGCGUCACACGUCGUUGCCCCCCCAUCUACUCCUUCGGGAUUGCGGGGGGCGGAUGAUGGCCUCCCGUGCGCCUCGUCGCGCGGUUGGCAUAAAUGCCAAGUCCUCGGCGACGCACGCCACGACAAUCGGUGGUUGCGAAACCUCGGUUGCCCGUCGUGUGCGGUCGUCGCGCAUCGAGGGCUCGAAAAAAUUGCCGGGCUCCGGCUCGACUUUCAACGCGACCCCAGGUCAGGCGGGGUUACCCGCUGAAUUUAAGCAUAUCAAUAAGCGGAGGA